GCACUCGUGGCGGAAUCGGCAGACGCGCAAGCUUGAGGUGCUUGUGGGUUUUCCCGUGGGAGUUCGAGUCUCCCCGAGUGCA
rnacentral:tRNA from 2 species